CAGAGUCUGUCUUAUACAACUCUCUCCUAGUGACCGCCUCCCUAUAGGACAGCUAAAUUCAAUCUACUUGACUCAUCAGUUGUUCAUUCCCCACACCCCACAAGGACUGCAUAAAUAUGUUCCAGUGACCAUCUCUCAGUCACAGAGUAACCCCACACAUCUCAUGCCUCGUUGCCUUAAACUCAAUAGUUAGAAGUGCCUGAGGAAAGCAUGCUUGGGUAAUGCUCUAGACCUAAGGGGUUCCUCACUGUCUUUUUCUCUUGUUCUUCACCUACUGCUUGAACACGUCUGUCCUGGACAGCUGCCCUCUUCCCAUUGGCUGUGCAAAGUGUGCUGCCCUCUUCCCUCUGGAUCUGGACAGGGUCUCACCCUGUUGCGUAGACUUGUGGUACAAUGGCACCAUCAUAAGCUCACUGCAGCCUUGAAAUCCCAGGCUCAGUUGAUCCUCCUGACUCGGACUCCCAAACAUUUAAGAAUACAGGAUAAUAUUAACUCCUGACAUGAUGAAGAAAAGAGAAGAAAACAAAUUACGUGCAAGGAAGCGGAAGGUGCCUGGGGGAAACAGCUUCUUGCCCUAUGCAAAUGGGUUCUUCAAUGGGAGAAAUAAAACUCAAUUAUUACAUGUUCAUACUCCUACGAAUUGGUAGAUACCACAGUGUUCUCAUUUAUAAUAUACAUUCCUG
rnacentral:lncRNA from 10 species